CUAAGCUAGAGCGGACAUUUCUUGCUGUGCUCCCCUUGUAAUUAUGUGACUGUCUUUGGCUAGCAGGGACUUGUAUAAUUUUAGGACACUGGUUACUCUCGAGUCAACAAGAACAGUCACAUCAGGAUUCAGCAGUUACAAGGAAGAAAGACACAAUGCUGUCUGUUCUCAUUGCUAAAAGACUGGUAAGUGGGGUAUGCCAGGCGUCAUUGAGACCAGCUGUGGCAGAAAUAGUAACUACACGGGGUUACAAAGGAGAGGCACCUGAUGACUCUAGGGGUGACAUAAUUGAGAUCCCCCUGCCCCCCUGGACAGAGAAGGAUGGUGAGACCAUGGACAUCAAGAGACGGCGCCUGCUCUUCCAAAGCCGAAAGAGGGGCAUGCUGGAGAAUUGCAUAUUGCUCAGCCUGUUUGCCAAACAGUAUCUUAAUACAAUGAACGAGCCCCAGUUAAGACUGGGACAUCUACUACUGGGCAACAGAGGCCCAGCCUGUACCUGAUGUGUACGCAGGUGAAAUCAUGGACCUACUGAAGGAGUUCACAAAGAACAAAGAUCAGGAACAGAGGCUGGACGCACCCAACCUGGAAUACCUGGACAAGGGGAGCCAGUGAAGUCUGGCUGACACAUCCCUCUCAGGGUGUUUUCACAUUAUAGUCUUCUUUAAAAUAACUGAUCUCAGUCCUCUUUAAAGUGAACUCUGAGGGUAAAAAAAGAAGCAAAA